GACGAACGCUGGCGGCGUGCCUAAUACAUGCAAGUAGAACGCUGAAGGAGGAGCUUGCUUCUCUGGAUGAGUUGCGAACGGGUGAGUAACGCGUAGGUAACCUGCCUGGUAGCGGGGGAUAACUAUUGGAAACGAUAGCUAAUACCGCAUAAUAGCAGUUAUUGCAUGAUAACUGUUUGAAAGGUGCAAUUGCACCACUACCAGAUGGACCUGCGUUGUAUUAGCUAGUUGGUGGGGUAACGGCUCACCAAGGCGACGAUACAUAGCCGACCUGAGAGGGUGAUCGGCCACACUGGGACUGAGACACGGCCCAGACUCCUACGGGAGGCAGCAGUAGGGAAUCUUCGGCAAUGGACGGAAGUCUGACCGAGCAACGCCGCGUGAGUGAAGAAGGUUUUCGGAUCGUAAAGCUCUGCUGUAAGAGAAGAACGAGUGUGAGAGUGGAAAGUUCACACUGUGACGGUAUCUUACCAGAAAGGGACGGCUAACUACGUA
rnacentral:rRNA from 1 species